rnacentral:rRNA from 1 species
CAGACAAACUCCGAAUGCCAAUUAAUUUAACUUGGGAGUCAGAACAUGGGUGAUAAGGUCCGUGUUCGAAAGGGAAACAGCCCAGACCACCAGCUAAGGUCCCAAAAUAUAUGUUAAGUGGAAAAGGAUGUGGCGUUGCCCAGACAACUAGGAUGUUGGCUUAGAAGCAGCCAUCAUUUAAAGAGUGCGUAAUAGCUCACUAGUCGAGUGACACUGCGCCGAAAAUGUACCGGGGCUAAACAUAUUACCGAAGCUGUGGAUUGUCCUUUGGACAAUGGUAGGAGAGCGUUCUAAGGGCGUUGAAGCAUGAUCGUAAGGACAUGUGGAGCGCUUAGAAGUGAGAAUGCCGGUGUGAGUAGCGAAAGACGGGUGAGAAUCCCGUCCACCGAUUGACUAAGGUUUCCAGAGGAAGGCUCGUCCGCUCUGGGUUAGUCGGGUCCUAAGCUGAGGCCGACAGGCGUAGGCGAUGGAUAACAGGUUGAUAUUCCUGUACCACCUAUAAUCGUUUUAAUCGAUGGGGGGACGCAGUAGGAUAGGCGAAGCGUGCGAUUGGAUUGCACGUCUAAGCAGUAAGGCUGAGUAUUAGGCAAAUCCGGUACUCAUUAAGGCUGAGCUGUGAUGGGGAGAAGACAUUGUGUCUUCGAGUCGUUGAUUUCACACUGCCGAGAAAAGCCUCUAGAUAGAAAAUAGGUGCCCGUACCGCAAACCGACACAGGUAGUCAAGAUGAGAAUUCUAAGGUGAGCGAGCGAACUCUCGUUAAGGAACUCGGCAAAAUGACCCCGUAACUUCGGGAGAAGGGGUGCUCUUUAGGGUUAACGCCCAGAAGAGCCGCAGUGAAUAGGCCCAAGCGACUGUUUAUCAAAAACACAGGUCUCUGCUAAACCGUAAGGUGAUGUAUAGGGGCUGACGCCUGCCCGGUGCUGGAAGGUUAAGAGGAGUGGUUAGCUUCUGCGAAGCUACGAAUCGAAGCCCCAGUAAACGGCGGCCGUAACUAUAACGGUCCUAAGGUAGCGAAAUUCCUUGUCGGGUAAGUUCCGACCCGCACGAAAGGCGUAACGAUUUGGGCACUGUCUCAACGAGAGACUCGGUGAAAUCAUAGUACCUGUGAAGAUGCAGGUUACCCGCGACAGGACGGAAAGACCCCGUGGAGCUUUACUGUAGCCUGAUAUUGAAAUUCGGCACAGCUUGUACAGGAUAGGUAGGAGCCUUUGAAACGUGAGCGCUAGCUUACGUGGAGGCGCUGGUGGGAUACUACCCUAGCUGUGUUGGCUUUCUAACCCGCACCACUUAUCGUGGUGGGAGACAGUGUCAGGCGGGCAGUUUGACUGGGGCGGUCGCCUCCUAAAAGGUAACGGAGGCGCUCAAAGGUUCCCUCAGAAUGGUUGGAAAUCAUUCAUAGAGUGUAAAGGCAUAAGGGAGCUUGACUGCGAGACCUACAAGUCGAGCAGGGUCGAAAGACGGACUUAGUGAUCCGGUGGUUCCGCAUGGAAGGGCCAUCGCUCAACGGAUAAAAGCUACCCCGGGGAUAACAGGCUUAUCUCCCCCAAGAGUUCACAUCGACGGGGAGGUUUGGCACCUCGAUGUCGGCUCAUCGCAUCCUGGGGCUGUAGUCGGUCCCAAGGGUUGGGCUGUUCGCCCAUUAAAGCGGUACGCGAGCUGGGUUCAGAACGUCGUGAGACAGUUCGGUCCCUAUCCGUCGUGGGCGUAGGAAAUUUGAGAGGAGCUGUCCUUAGUACGAGAGGACCGGGAUGGACAUACCUCUGGUGUACCAGUUGUCGUGCCAACGGCAUAGCUGGGUAGCUAUGUGUGGACGGGAUAAGUGCUGAAAGCAUCUAAGCAUGAAGCCCCCCUCAAGAUGAGAUUUCCCAACUUCGGUUAUAAGAUCCCUCAAAGAUGAUGAGGUUAAUAGGUUCGAGGUGGAAGCAUGGUGACAUGUGGAGCUGACGAAUACUAA